rnacentral:rRNA from 1 species
AACGAACGCUGGCGGCAUGCCUAACACAUGCAAGUCGAACGAGACCUUCGGGUCUAGUGGCGCACGGGUGCGUAACGCGUGGGAACCUGCCCUUAGGUUCGGAAUAACUCCCCGAAAGGGGUGCUAAUACCGGAUAAUGUCUUCGGACCAAAGAUUUAUCGCCUUUGGAUGGGCCCGCGUUGGAUUAGCUAGUUGGUAGGGUAAAAGCCUACCAAGGCGACGAUCCAUAGCUGGUCUGAGAGGAUGAUCAGCCACACUGGGACUGAGACACGGCCCAGACUCCUCCGGGAGGCAGCAGGGGGGAAUAUUGGACAAGGGGCGAAGGCCUGAUCCAGCAUUGCCGCGUGAGUGAUGAAGCCCUUGGGGUUGAAAAGCUUUUUUCCCGGGGAGGAUAAUCACAGUCCCGGGAAAAUAAGCCCCGGCUAACUCCGUC